UGGGGAAUUUUGGACAAUGGGGGCAACCCUGAUCCAGCGACGCCGCGUGAAGGAUGAAGGUCUUCGGAUUGUAAACUUCUUUUGGAGGGGAUGAAUGCCUGAGUGAAAAACUCAGGGUGACAGUACUCUCUGAAUAAGCCACGGCUAACUACGUGCCAGCAGCCGCGGUAAUACGUAGGUGGCAAGCGUUACUCGGAAUCACUAGGCGUAAAGCGCAGGUAGGCGGUUCGGUAAGUCUGUUGUGAAAGCUCCCGGCUCAACUGGGAGAGGCCAACGGAAACUGCCGGGCUAGAGUGUGGUAGAGGUAGCUGGAAUUCCCGGUGUAGCGGUGAAAUGCGUAGAUAUCGGGAGGAAUACCUAUGGCGAAAGCAGGCUACUGGACCAUCACUGACGCUGAUCUGCGAAAGCUAGGGGAGCAAACAGGAUUAGAUACCCCCGUAGUCC
rnacentral:rRNA from 1 species